AGAGUUUGAUCAUGGCUCAGGAUGAACGCUAGCGACAGGCCUAACACAUGCAAGUCGAGGGGCAGCAUUUCUAGCUUGCUAGAAGAUGGCGACCGGCGCACGGGUGAGUAACGCGUAUGCAACCUACCUUACAUUGGGGGAUAGCCCAGAGAAAUCUGGAUUAAUACCGCAUAAUAUAUUUGAAUCGCAUGGUUUAAAUAUUAAAACUCCGGUUGAUGUAAGAUGGGCAUGCGUAGCAUUAGUUAGUUGGUGAGGUAACGGCUCACCAAGACAAUGAUGCUUAGGGGGUCUGAGAGGAUAGUCCCCCACACUGGUACUGAGACACGGACCAGACUCCUACGGGAGGCAGCAGUGAGGAAUAUUGGUCAAUGGGCGCAAGCCUGAACCAGCCAUGUCGCGUGCAGGAUGACGGCCCUAUGGGUUGUAAACUGCUUUUUUACAGGAAUAAUUGCUUCUACGUGUAGAAGUUUGAAUGUACUGUAUGAAUAAGGAUCGGCUAACUCCGUGCCAGCAGCCGCGGUAAUACGGAGGAUUCGAGCGUUAUCCGGAUUUAUUGGGUUUAAAGGGUCCGUAGGCGGUCUUUUAAGUCAGUGGUGAAAUCCCAGAGCUCAACUCUGGAACUGCCAUUGAAACUGAAAGACUUGAAUAUGGUUGAGGUAGGCGGAAUACGUUAUGUAGCGGUGAAAUGCAUAGAUAUAACGUAGAACACCAAUUGCGAAGGCAGCUUACUAAACCAUUAUUGACGCUGAUGGACGAAAGCGUGGGGAGCGAACAGGAUUAGAUACCCUGGUAGUCCACGCCGUAAACGAUGAUUACUCGUUGUGCACAAUACACCGUGCGUGACUUAGCGAAAGCAUUAAGUAAUCCACCUGGGGAGUACGUUCGCAAGAAUGAAACUCAAAGGAAUUGACGGGGGCCCGCACAAGCGGAGGAACAUGUGGUUUAAUUCGAUGAUACGCGAGGAACCUUACCUGGACUUAAAUGUAGAUUGACCGGUUUAGAAAUAGAUCUUUCCUUCGGGACAAUUUACAAGGUGCUGCAUGGUUGUCGUCAGCUCGUGCCGUGAGGUGUCGGGUUAAGUCCCAUAACGAGCGCAACCCCUAUCGUUAGUUGCUAGCAGGUAAUGCUGAGGACUCUAGCGAGACUGCCACCGUAAGGUGAGAGGAAGGUGGGGAUGACGUCAAAUCAGCACGGCCCUUACGUCCAGGGCUACACACGUGUUACAAUGGCCAGUACAAAGGGCAGCUACCAGGUGACUGGAUGCUAAUCUCAAAAGCUGGUCUCAGUUCGGAUCGGAGUCUGCAACUCGACUCCGUGAAGUUGGAUUCGCUAGUAAUCGUAUAUCAGCAAUGAUACGGUGAAUACGUUCCCGGGCCUUGUACACACCGCCCGUCAAGCCAUGGAAGCCGAGGGUGCCUGAAGUACGUUACCGCAAGGAGCGUCCUAGGGUAAAAUUGGUAACUGGGGCUAAGUCGUAACAAGGUA
rnacentral:rRNA from 1 species